UGAGGAAUAUUGCUCAAUGGGCGAAAGCCUGAAGCAGCAACGCCGCGUGCGCGAUGAUGGUCUUCGGAUCGUAAAGCGCUUUUGAGAGGGACGAGAUAGGACGGUACCUCUUGAAUAAGUCACGGCUAACUACGUGCCAGCAGCCGCGGUAAAACGUAGGUGGCAAGCGUUAUCCGGAUUCACUGGGCGUAAAGCGCGUGCAGGUGGCUUCGUAAGUUGGACGUUAAAUCUUUCGGCCUAACCGGGAGGUGUCGUUCAAUACUGCGGGGCUUGAGGGUAGAAGAGGGGGGUGGAAUUGCCGGUGUAGUGGUGAAAUGCGUAGAUAUCGGCAGGAACACCUGUGGCGAAAGCGGCCCCCUGGUCUGCUCCUGACACUCAGACGCGAAAGCUAGGGGAGUGAACG
rnacentral:rRNA from 1 species